rnacentral:rRNA from 1 species
UACGAAGGGGGCUAGCGUUGCUCGGAAUGACUGGGCGUAAAGGGCGCGUAGGCGGUUAUUACAGUCAGAUGUGAAAUUCCUGGGCUCAACCUGGGGACUGCAUUUGAGACGUAGUGACUUGAGUGGAGAAGAGGGUCGUGGAAUUUCCAGUGUAGAGGUGAAAUUCGUAGAUAUUGGAAAGAACACCGGUGGCGAAGGCGGCGACCUGGUCUUUAACUGACGCUGAGGCGCGAAAGCGUGGGGAGCAAACAGG